rnacentral:rRNA from 1 species
UAACGAUACGGGACUCAUCCGAGGCCCCGUAAUCGGAAUGAGAACAUCCUAAAUCCUUUAACGAGGAUCUAUUGGAGGGCAAGUCUGGUGCCAGCAGCCGCGGUAAUUCCAGCUCCAAUAGCGUAUAUUAAAGUUGUUGCGGUUAAAAAGCUCGUAGUUGGUUCUGCGUGCCACGCUGUCGGUUCACCGCCUGUCGGUGCAACUGGCAUGCCGUGGCAUGUCCUGUCGGUGGCGUGCAGGCUUCGCGGCGCUCCCUGCAUGAUACGUUGUGUAGGUCGUCGAGUAGUCCUCGUACGCCGUCUCAAUCCUGCCGCGGUGCUCUUUACCGAGUGUCGAGGUAGGCCGGCACAUUUUACUUUGAACAAAUUAGAGUGCUUAAAGCAGGCUCUUAAAUCAGCCUGAAUAGUGGUGCAUGGAAUAAUGGAACAGGACCUUGGUUCUAUUUUGUUGGUUUUAGGAAUCCAAGGUAAUGAUCAAUAAGGACAGGCGGGGGCAUUCGUAUUGCGACGUUAGAGGUGAAAUUCUUGGAUCGUCGCAAGACGCACUAGAGCGAAAGCAUUUGCCAAGUAUGUCUUAAUUGAUCAAGAACGAAAGUUAGAGGUUCGAAGGCGAUCAGAUACCG